CGAACGGGUGAGUAACGCGUGAGUAACCUGCCUCAUACAACGGGAUACCUGAGGGAAACUUCAGUUAAUACGGUAUAAGACCACACUGCCGCAUGGCAGAGGGGUAAAAGGAGCAAUCCGGUAUGAGAUGGACUCGCGUCGCAUUAGCUAGUUGGUGAGGUAACGGCCCACCAAGGCGACGAUGCGUAGCCGACCUGAGAGGGUGAACGGCCACAUUGGGACUGAGACACGGCCCAAACUCCUACGGGAGGCAGCAG
rnacentral:rRNA from 1 species